UAGGGAAUCUUCGGCAAUGGACGAAAGUCUGACCGAGCAACGCCGCGUGAGUGAAGAAGGUUUUCGGAUCGUAAAACUCUGUUGUUAGAGAAGAACAAGGACGUUAGUAACUGAACGUCCCCUGACGGUAUCUAACCAGAAAGCCACGGCUAACUACGUUCCAGCAGCCGCGGUAAUACGUAGGUGGCAAGCGUUGUCCGGAUUUAUUGGGCGUAAAGCGGGCGAAGGCGGUUUCUUAAGUCUGAGGUGAAAGCCCCCGGCUCAACCGGGGAGAGACAUGGGAAUCUGGGAGGAUUGAAUGCAGAAGAGGAGAGUGGAAUUCCAUGUGUGGCGAUGAAAUGCGUAGAUAUAUGGAGGAACACCAGUGGCGAAGGCGGCUCACUGGUCUGUAACUGACGCUGAGGCUAGAAAGCGUGGGGAGCAAACAGG
rnacentral:rRNA from 1 species